GAGUGGUUUAUAAAAGUCUGUCUCACAGUGAGAUAAAGACGUGAACAUGUUCCCAGAUGGCAUGUCAGUAAAUACUCUGUUUUAUUGCUCUUUUCCUGUCACAUUCAUCUUGAGUUUUAUUUGCAGUAGAAUGAUCACUCAGGACGUCCAUCAGCCUCAAACACGGUCUGAGACUUUGUCCUGUGGGACAGAAGCUGUGGUUUAAUUAAAGGUCAAAGGUGAGGACUGGGUAAAAAGAAGUUGUGCUAAGUUGCGUGUGAUGUUUUUAAAUCUGGCUGUUCAGUCAAACCGACGCAGACAGGAAACAGGAAGUUCAGGGGAUUCCAGACAUAUUUAAAAUGUUGUUGAGCGGCUGAAUGAUCACAGCUUGUCACAGAGCGACGUGCUUCAAACGACCUGUGUGCAUGUGCAUGGCGGCUGCCUCGCGUCAUUGUGCAUUUGCUCAAAACAAAUAACAGACGCAGCUUAUUAAUCGUACACAAACUUGAGGAAAUGACAUGAUAAAUGUGAAAUGUGCCUAAUGAGCAGCAAAAGAAACAUUGAGACGUUAACGGUGAGACAGUGACAGUCACUCACUGAUCCACUGAGACCCACUCCUGCGUUUCUUGUUUACAUCACACAGAUCCACAGGUGUGACAAAGAUGGCACAUCCCCCGACCCCUCCCUGUUAGAAGCCAAUCAUCAGGCCACACCUCUUAAUCAGUGACUCAGGUGUUUUCAGGUCACGUGACACACCUGGCUGUGCAGUCCUGACUUCACAAACAACACAGGCAAUAAAAUCAAAAAUCUUCAUUUAAGAGACAAAAAUUAUCCGACAGAGACGAAGGAAGGAUCGUGGUUUGCAUGAAGCCUCGUCAUUGUGGUCGCCGUGGGAACUGCAUGUCUCUGAGUUUUAUUUAUUCAUUCAUUCAUUCAUUUCUUUUUUAACCCUAACCCUGAUGCUGAUGUUUAAUAUGUGACAGUUGAAGCAGUGGAGACAUUUUAAAGGAACAGUUUCAGAAAAUUAGCUGAAAAAUCUGCUGUAAUCCCACAAAUUAUUUAAAUUCUUUGUGAUUUGUUAAUUGCGUUGUUUCAAAUUGUGAUUAAUAGUUGAACGCGUGUUAAUUGGUCAGCCACGAACCUCGUCUUCCUGUGUUGUGAAGUGGAAUCUUGAGGCAAUUAGCUUGGCUUAGUUUAGUUUAGCUAGUUAAAACUUGUGAAACAGCAAGUUUUGUCUCGUUUACCUUAACACGUUUUUAGUUAAAUCAGCAAAAAUGUAACUUGUGUUCAUUGUUGAGCCUGUGCUCCCUGUCUUAUGCUAAGCUAAGCUAAGCUAAUCACCUCCUGACCAAGGUUCUGUACUGAAAGCUGCGUUUCCAUUUUACAUCGAAACUCAAGAGCCGGGAGUUCCAGUCGUGUUCCAGUUGAGAUUUUACAGGAAUGACCUGCGACCUCGGAAAUUCCGAGUUCUGACUAGAAAAUGAAACGCAGCAGAAGUCGAGACGUCAAACACUGAAAUGUGAAUGUUUAUUUUGUAACAAAAGUUUUCUCACGUGAUAGUUUUGUGUUUUAUUUAUUUAUUGAAUUAAUUUUUCAGCUUUUGCGACACAUUUGAAACCAGAACACUGUAAAUAAGCACAUGUUUUUAUAUAUUUGGUCUUUGUUGACAUAUAAUCCUCCUGUGAUGUGUCACGCACGCACGCACGCACACACGCGCACGCACGCACACAGCCGUGGUCGUGCAUGUGCUGAAUUUCAAAAAACUGAAUCCACUGAAGCACUUUUUUGUACCAGAUUUUGUCGUUGCCAAUAAAGAGGCGGAGGAUUCCUGCCGAGCGUCGCUCUGUCGUC